AUUGAACGCUGGCGGCAGGCCUAACACAUGCAAGUCGAACGAGUGGCGGACGGGUGAGUAAUGUCUGGGAAACUGCCUGAUGGAGGGGGAUAACUACUGGAAACGGUAGCUAAUACCGCAUACCAUCAGAUGUGCCCAGAUGGGAUUAGCUUGUUGGUGGGGUAACGGCUCACCAAGGCGACGAUCCCUAGCUGGUCUGAGAGGAUGACCAGCCACACGGGAAAGGGGAAAGGGUCAAAACGCCUAGGGGAGCCAGAAGGGGGGAAUAUGGAACAAUGGGGGAAAGCCUAAGGCAGCCAUGCCGCGUGUAUGAAGAAGGCCUUCGGGUGGUAAAGUACUUUCAGCGGGGAGACGUUACCCGCAGAAGAAGCACCGGCUAACUCCGUGCCAGCAGCCGCGGUAAUA
rnacentral:rRNA from 1 species